GUAUCUUAAUUGGCUGAUUGUGUGCUGAAUUGCAUAUUUCCAUUUUUACAGUCAACCAGGUUUUCCAUUCAAAGGAUGAUUCAGACGUCCAGAACCAGAUUUGGGCAUUUCUGCUACGGAAAAACAUCAUGCCUGUCCAAGAAAAGGAUGUAAUAGAACUCAAACUGGCCAGAAAAAUCGCAGAGCUGCAGGAGCUCGAGGCUCUUCAAGAGGAGCUAAAUGUAGAAAGAAAAUUGGUGUCAAAUGCAAUAGAAAAAGAGAGAUUGAUGACCAGCAAAAGAGAUGAUGCCUGUUUCUGGAAAUACUGUGUUUGAGGA